GCAACUCUUCAGUUCCAAUUGCAAGAACAAUGAUCAUGAACCUGAAACCAAACCAAAGCAAAGCAAAGCAAAGCUAGAAUUUUACUUUACUUUAUAGAUAAAGUCAAACAAUAAUCAAUAAUAAAAUGUGUACUCAAGCUAAAAAUUAAUAUGAUUUAACCCCUACCAUAUCUGUAAGUUUGUUUUGAAUUAAUAAGCAAAUCCAGUAAUUGUAACAUGAAAUAUAGGAUAAUAGUGUUUCUUUAAAGCGUGGAUACCUAGAAAUACUUACAAUAUUGCUAUUGAAAAUGUGAAUGAAUUCAUUAUUUUAACUUUAUGAUUCCCGACAUAUAUUUCAGAGUUAUAUUUAAGAUAGCUUUAUAAUUUAUUUUGCUUGAUUACUCCAACUGAAGACACUCAAAGUAAAAUCAUGUUUCAUAUAUUGAUAAUGUGCUGCUUUUGAUAUCCAUUAAGUCCAAUGCCUACUCAAUAUUCUAAGCAAAUCUCCAUUGAUAUCACACCAAUAGUUUCCAAUCAGGCAGCCAUGACUUGGACAUCGCCAGAAACAAGCCACAAAAAACUGCAUUUUUUGUUGAAGCAGAAUCUUGUAAUAAAUAUGUUUUUAUUCAUAGUAUUGAUUCAAAUCUUAAGUUAUUAGGUGAAAUCCCAAAGAUUUUUUCAAUAUCUGAUGGAAAUAAACCUCACUAAUUUUGUGCGUAAAUUUGAUUAGGAAGAGUGCAUGCAAAGAGUGAACUCCAAACCAUAUCAUCAUAAAGGCUCUAAUAGCAUGCCAAGGACCAGUACCAACUUCCCUAUAAACUUAAACUAAAGAUAAAGGGCCAAGCAUUUAUAUCUAUAUCGCUGACAUGUAACCCAAAAAUGAAAGAUCAAUGAAUGAAUCAAGAUCAAUGAAAUUAGAUAAAACUGUUUAUCUGAUCAGCAUUAGUGUUUCCAAAAUAUUAGCAGAACCAAAGAUUUACAGAAGAUAAGGUGAUUGCGUGACUGGUGACCUAUUUAUGCAAACUAACCUUCUCACAUGCAGCCUUCAAAACAUCCUUUGGCACUACAGACUGAUCAGGUUCUGAGAUGAAACCAAGGAGGAAGCCAAGCAUCUCCCUAGUCUUCAACCAAAGUUGGGCACACUGGCGAGCUAAACUGAGGAAAACCAAGAUGAAGAAAAGCAUCAUGAAAUGUAGAAAAAUCAAGACACCAGGUAAUGAUUAUAGGUUCACAAUUGCAACUUUGGGGUGGACAGCUGCCUUCAUUGCAAAUUCCCUGUGCAUCUGCCCAUCAUCUCAUGCCUUAUUGAAUUGCAAAACAUAUAACAUUUGCAGAUGCCCAUUGAGCUUAUAUAUAACUUAUAGCACAAACGCCAAUCAUAAUAAGAGCUUAUAUAUAAGCUUACAUAAGCUAUUUUUAUAGCAAAAGAUAAAACAAAGAUAAAUUAUUUUCAUAUAUACAGACUAUUUUUAUAAGCUAUAUUGGAGAGCUUGUGAAAAAAACUUAUCCAAAUUGUCCUAAGUUGUUUUCGUAAGUUCUCCCAAAUUAACAGCUGCACAAAACUUAUGUUAGUAGAUAAGCUCAAAUAAGUCAAUCCAAACAAGUCCAUGUUUAUCAAACUAAUCUAAUCCAUCAAUGAGAAAUUUAGCAGUAAAGAUUAUGUAGUAGGAUUUAGGCUAAAGAAAACAGCUUAUGCAAACUUGUGAUGUAGAAUUUAUGCACCCCAUCAGCCAUUCUGGCAUAAUGUGAUAUGUAUCAUGAAUUUUAGAAUAAAGUACAGGCAAGCUGUGGGGAUGAGGUAAAGUAGCCAACUGAUAAUUUUCUUACUUCAUCUUUGGGUUGAAGUGCUGACCAGUAAAUUCAGAAUGUCCUCCAACAGAAUUCUGAAUGCACACAUCAAAUAGUUUGCACUCAAUUCUUCAACAAAAAACAAGUAUUUAAAACUAACAUACUGUAACUGUAACACUGUAACAGCCACUAAAAAAACAUAGCACUUACAGCUCAUGUGAAAACUUUAUAAACUUUAUAUAUAAAACAGUAACUUAAAUUUAUAUUUAAGUGAGCUUUGCCUACCGUAAAAGUAAAAUCUGAUACAGGAUAGCUACUCUCCUUGUAAUUAUGGGGUAUAACAGGUGAAAUAUGGCGACGAUCUAUUUUCAAUGCUGGAUCAGGUUCUGCAUUUUAAUAAUACAGAUGAUCAGUGUAAGAGAUGCAAUACAGUAUAAAUAUCAUAGAGGACUCCAAAGAGUUGGUUUCUUUGUACUAUUCUUCAGUUGAUUCGUUUCUUCCUUAGAGAAUUCCUUUGAAACCUUUAUCAGUGGGCCAAUCAAAUACAAGGAAACACUUUUUUUUGCUGUGCAAAAUCACUUCAUACUGUAGUUGCAAAAUUGCAUUUAGGGACUAAGGGUCCAUCAAAGCACAAUAGAUAAUAGCAUUUAAGGACUAGGGUCAACAACCAGCUUUCAAAUUAAGGCAUCAUCCAACAUUUUUGGGUCACCCUUACAAAAAUCAUGGAACAAAGUCUAUCCAUCCACAUUUUGAAUAAAGAAUUCACAUUGAAAUUGCUUUGCUUUGAAAGCCACCAUCCAACGUUUCCAUUAUGAAUAAAGAAUUCAUAGUGCAUUUUCCUCAAAGGUCAUUGAAGCAUUCAUCCCUUACAAAACUUAUGAAACAUUAGGGACAAGGGUCAUUAAGCUCAUAAUGCAAAAUCACUUUUAAUUGUAGUUGCAGAAUUGAACUUUGGGACUAAGGGUCAUCAAAGCAGAAUAUAUAUCCCUUCAUGCAUUAUUAUGAAUAAAAACUCAUAUUUUUUUUAAUAGAAAAGAGGACACCAAUAGAGACAAUUGCUUGAGUAGCAAUUAUAAGGCAACAACUAGCUUUUUCACAUUCAGGGACUAGAGUCAUUAAGUAAUUUAUCCAACAUUUUCCGGGCAUCAAGUAAGCAUUCAUAAUGCAUUUUCCUCAAAGGUCAUUGAAGCAUUCAUCCCUUACAAAACUUAUGAAACAUUAGGGUCAAGAGUCAUUGAGCUCAUAAUGCAAAACCACUUUUAAUUGCAGUUGCAGAAUUGAACUUAGGGACUAAGGGUCAUCCAAGCAGAAUAUAUAUAUAUCCAUUCAUGCAUUAUUAUGAAUAAAAAUUCAUAUUUUUUUAGUAGAAAAGAGGACACCGAUAGAGACAAUUGCUCGAGUAGCAAUUAUAAGGCAACAACUAGC
rnacentral:lncRNA from 1 species